AAAAAAUAAAUGAAAUCCUAUCCCUUGACUCCGCAGCGUACAUGGAAUCUUUUGCAAAUCGGAGAUGUUCAACAGUGGAUGAUAGAACCCCUCUGCCUCCAUUUUCUGACCUGGUGCAUAGAAGUCUUCUGGCUGGCAAUUCAAGAGGGAUAUGGCAUAAAAUGGUUGAUGAAGUAUCUAAUUAUGACCUGGCUAAUUAUCCCAGCCUAAGUGACAGUUCUGAAUACAAGGCCAUUUGAAAAAAGCUGUACAGCAAAUACCCAUGCAUUAAGCAUGAAGGGAAUGAACCGUGGUCCUUAUUUUCUAAGUGCCUCAGUCAGAAGAUGAGGCACAUGAGGUGGUCUUUAAAAAGGAAAAGCCUGCCCAUUGACUCCAAUUCAGCACCAAUUAUGGCAAAGAAAGCCCAGGUACCUACCAUACAGAGGCCUGAAGAACGGCCCGAUGAAGAAUACGACCGCCAUGUCGAAGAAUUAAGAAAAGAAUUUGACAAAAAUAAGCCUGAUGACAAUCACAUAGACAUUCUUCUUAAAGAAACGUUUGGCAAUCGUCGAUUGUGGCUGACCACUCUUCCAGCUGGAAGAAUUAAACCAAUUGUUGAAGUUUACCCUUGUUUUGAAUGGGGAAAAU